rnacentral:lncRNA from 1 species
CCAGGUUCAGGCAAUUCUCCUGCCUCAGCCUCCUGAGUAGCUGGGAUUACAGGCACAUGCCACCAUGCCUGGCUAAUUCUUGUAUUUUUAGUAGAGACGAGGUUUCACCAUGUUGACCAGGCUGGUCGUGAACUCCUGACCUCAGGUGAUCCACCCACCUUGGCCUUCCAAAGUGCUAGGAUUACAGGCGUGAGCCACCACGCCCAGCCUACACAACCCUAUCCCCAAAUAAGAUCACAGUCUGGAGUACAGGAGGUUAGGACUUGAACACAUGAAUUGUGGGGCGUGAAAUUCAGCCCAUUAUUGGGGAUCCUGUAAAGCAAGGCCCUGCCAUGGGACCAGGCUUGGCAUGUUCUAGGAUGGGCAGCAAGGCUGGUGCGGCUGCACCAGGGAGCCAGGGGCAGGGAGCAGGAGGGUGGAGUGGGAAACGGAGGCGCUUCAUACAGGGCCUUGUUUAUUCCAAGUGCCGUGAGGGGCACGGCGGGUCUGAGAACUAACUUCCAUUUCUUCAAGAUCGUCUGGCCGCCGUGUGGAGAGUAACUGAGUGAGUCUGCAUUUGGAGUCCUCUGCACCAGAGAGGCUGAGGAGGCCCAGCAAGAACGCAGCGGGAGACACAAUGUCAGGACGGGUUCCAGACAUGAGCCGGAGGAGCAGGAGGGCCAUCGGGAUUUCUGGAGCUGGCUGCUCUGGGGGCCAAGGAGGAGAUCCACAGAGGGUCUGGCCAUCUGCCUGCACCCCAGAUUUUCUGCAGAUGGACAGAGAGAGAAGAUGGAACAUGGGAGGAACAGGUCACCAAAACAUGUCUCUCAUGCUGGAAGGUGGACUCAGGAGGAUGGAAGAGGAUGGCUCUCGCCAGGGCAACCAUGCUGGCCAUGGGAUGAAAGGAGCAAAGAAGAUGGGAGAUUUGGGAGGAAGAGUCGGCACAAGUUUAAAGGAAGGAGGUGGGGAGAAGGGGAACCCUGGAUUUCUGUCCCUGGAGAUAGAGGAUGAGAGCAUAAGAUGAAGCCUGGAGAGGAGGGAAGUUGGUUGGAGCUUGGGGAGUCUAUGAUACUGGGGGUAUGACUGAAGGGGACUGAGGACAGGACAGUGAGUAGACAGGUCGGGGACAGGAGAGAUGAGCCCAGAAAUACAGAGGAGUUUCUGUGCAGGGACCUCUGAAGCCCUGGUGUGGAUAGUGUGGCCCAGAAGCCCAUGGAAGGAGAAGGACAGAGCGGUGAGGACACAGCCCAGGGGAGCACUGAUAGUAGAGAUCAGGAGGAAAGAGAAGGGUCUGAGGAAGUGGCCAAGACAGAGCACAUACAUGCAUAUACCCACAUGCAGGAACACACACACACACAAACACACAGUGAUGCUUGGAGACUUCCAAAGUCCCUAUCACCCCAUCUUCCCAUGAGUGGUAACUAGUCCUCCCUCCCCUGGAAUCCUUAGACAGCCUGGGGUUUUGGAGCCCUUGUCUUCAACAGAGCACUCAGAUGCUCAAUGCAU